AAGCUGAUUCGCAGUUUAUAGCUCUGAAGUGUAUUGUGGGAGUUGUAGGCUGUAAAAUAGUACCUGACCCGAUUCAGUAGCCCGUGACGCUGUAACUUUCAACUACUGUAUGCAGUACUAAGGUUAAAUUGCUAGGAGUUUUGUGUGCACAGCUUAUUCCUAUGGAGAGUGCUCACUUGCUCGUGAGGACAAGGACUGUACUGCCUACAGUAUUAUAAAAUACAAAAACUCCUAACCAAGCCCCAAAGUUUUAUUUGAAUACCGUCAGCUACCUUCUCCAGCUUGCUCCUGUUUGUGUAAAGGGUCUUUUCAUAUGCAAAAGAAGGGGGAGUGUCUUAUUUGCCACUUGCAGUGGGCUUUCCAACUCCCUUUUCAACAGAGCUAAACUGAGAGCUUCUAAUUCUAGGGCAGUGUUAUUGUGACUAUGAGCAGUAACAGUUGUUACAAUAUCGUGGUGGUUCGUGUUACUCCAUGAUGACGAUGACUGAGAACAACCAAAACUCAAAGACCUUGCAGGAACAAAUGGAGUUUGAAGAAGUUGCAGUUUAUUUUUCUGAGGAGGAGUGGAUCUGUUUAAAUGAAGAACAAAAAGAGCUUUAUAAGGAUGUGAUGAUAGAGAAUUACCAGACCCUCCGGUCUGUAGGU